rnacentral:lncRNA from 1 species
NNNAGGGGCUUCUGGGGCGUGGUAAGGUAUUUCUUAACGUGGGAGGCACAGGUGUUUUACAACUGACACCAUAUAUCCGUUGUCCGUACUUUUUGGAAUGUUCUAUUUCACAGUCGAAACGUAUGGUGGUGGUGUUGAUUCUAAACAGAGCAAACAGAGGUCCGAUCCACGAGGCCUUCCUGGAGCCCUCCACUCAGUGUCCUCUGGGCUCCUUCAGCCUCUGCUGCUUAUUCAGUCACCGCCCACCCUGGGCUGUGACCCGCGGUGGCCCGGCGUGGCUCGCCCGCCAGCACAGGAGCUGUGAGGCCAGCGCCCAGCCAGAGCGCUGCCCGGGGUCCGGGCGGACGGCUCGGGACAGGCGCGGGGCCGCGACCCCCGGCACCCGGGGCCCCCUGCCUCACGCUACCACCUUCAAGCCUAAUUGUACUGUAACUGUCAUCGUGGCCUGCCCGCGGGAGCAGACAGCCGCUGACUCCGCACCGCCACUUACCUCUGACUCUGCCUGUCCAUCCGUCUCUCUGCACCCCGUUGGGGCAUGUUCCCUAAGGCCUUCCCGGGAGCUGUUCUCUCUGCUGGAAGGCCCCCUCUCUGUCAUUUUGUUGAGCUCCUACUCAUCCUUCAAGAGCCAGCUCCGGCCUCCUCUCCUCUGUGCAACCUGCCUUCCUCUGAGCUCCCACAGGUCCCUAUUUCGCCUGGCCGCAGCCUGUCCAUGCCCUGCCCCACAGAAUCCUUCUCGACUCCUGAAGCUCUUUCAUCUCCCUGGCUUGUCCUCAAGGCCUGGGUCUGACACACUCUGGGCCUCAGGGGUGUGUCGGUCACCCCCGGUGUUCGGCGCGGGCUCUGGCAAGUCCCAGCCAGCUCCACGGCGCACGCGCUCACGGAGGCUCUGGAGGCGAGAGACAUCUCCUCAAGGUUCCCGCCACCGCCGACUCCUGGCAUGCACUGCGCCUGCGCGGGCGCCGGCUGCCUCGCGGUUAGGCGUCUCUACGUCCGGCAUGCGCUUCCUGGCGA